rnacentral:rRNA from 1 species
GGCAGGACUCCCAGCAACGGAUAUCUCGGCUCUCGCAUCGAUGAAGAACAUAGCGAAAUGCGAUACGUGGUGUGAAUUGCAGAAUCCCGUGAACCAUCAAGUCUUUGAACGCAAGUUGCGCCCGAGGCCAUCCGGCCGAGGGCAUGCCUGCUUGAGCAUCAUGC